GACGAACGCUGGCGGCGUGCUUAACACAUGCAAGUCGAACGGAAAGGCCCUGCUUUUGUGGGGUGCUCGAGUGGCGAACGGGUGAGUAACACGUGAGUAACCUGCCCUUGACUUUGGGAUAACUUCAGGAAACUGGGGCUAAUACCGGAUAGGAGCUCCUGCUGCAUGGUGGGGGUUGGAAAGUUUCGGCGGUUGGGGAUGGACUCGCGGCUUAUCAGCUUGUUGGUGGGGUAGUGGCUUACCAAGGCUUUGACGGGUAGCCGGCCUGAGAGGGUGACCGGCCACAUUGGGACUGAGAUACGGCCCAGACUCCUACGGGAGGCAGCAGUGGGGAAUAUUGCACAAGGGGCGGAAGCCUGAUGCAGAAACGCCGCGUGCGGGAUGACGGCCUUCGGGUUGUAAACCGCUUUCGCCUGUGACGAAGCGUGAGUGACGGUAAUGGGUAAAGAAGCACCGGCUAACUACGU
rnacentral:rRNA from 1 species